rnacentral:ncRNA from 1 species
CUCUCGCCCGCGGGAGAGUCUGGGUUCGACCCAGCGCCGAAGGAGCAACGACCCGGAAACUCUCAGGCACACGGACCGCGGAGCGUAU